CGGUGUGAUUCAUGACUGGGGUGAAGUCGUAACAAGGUAGCCGUAGGGGAACCUGCGGCUGGAUCACCUCCUUAAUCGACGAC
rnacentral:rRNA from 2 species